rnacentral:rRNA from 1 species
GAUGAACGCUGGCGGCGUGCCUAAUACAUGCAAGUCGAGCGAACAGACGAGGAGCUUGCUCCUCUGACGUUAGCGGCGGACGGGUGAGUAACACGUUGAUAACCUACCUAUAAUACUGGGAUAACUUCGGGAAACCGGAGCUAAUACCGGAUAAUAUAUUGAACCGCAUGGUUCAAUAGUGAAAGACGGUUUUGCUGUCACUUAUAGAUGGAUCCGCGCCGCAUUAGCUAGUUGGUAAGGUAACGGCUUACCAAGGCAACGAUGCGUAGCCGACCUGAGAGGGUGAUCGGCCACACUGGAACUGAGACACGGUCCAGACUCCUACGGGAGGCAGCAGUAGGGAAUCUUCCGCAAUGGGCGAAAGCCUGACGGAGCAACGCCGCGUGAGUGAUGAAGGUCUUCGGAUCGUAAAACUCUGUUAUUAGGGAAGAACAAAUGUGUAAGUAACUAUGCACGUCUUGACGGUACCUAAUCAGAAAGCCACGGCUAACUACGUG